rnacentral:rRNA from 1 species
UAGGGAAUCUUCCGCAAUGGACGAAAGUCUGACGGAGCAACGCCGCGUGAGUGAUGAAGGUUUUCGGAUCGUAAAGCUCUGUUGUUAGGGAAGAACAAGUACCGUUCGAAUAGGGCGGUACCUUGACGGUACCUAACCAGAAAGCCACGGCUAACUACGUGCCAGCAGCCGCGGUAAUACGUAGGUGGCAAGCGUUGUCCGGAAUUAUUGGGCGUAAAGGGCUCGCAGGCGGUUUCUUAAGUCUGAUGUGAAAGCCCCCGGCUCAACCGGGGAGGGUCAUUGGAAACUGGGGAACUUGAGUGCAGAAGAGGAGAGUGGAAUUCCACGUGUAGCGGUGAAAUGCGUAGAGAUGUGGAGGAACACCAGUGGCGAAGGCGACUCUCUGGUCUGUAACUGACGCUGAGGAGCGAAAGCGUGGGGAGCGAACAGG